GUGACUCGCGGCCGCAUUUAGUGGAGGCUUGUGAUUUGUGCGAGACGUGUUUUUAGUGUUCUAAAUUCAAAAUGUAUUGUUUUUAAAUAUGAAACAGUAACAGCCAGUUUGAAAAUGAAACUCUUUGGAGUUAAUCUCUAUAAUUGGAACAACACAUAGAAACGACUCCUUGGUGUCUUGAAAGACUGUUAAAAUCACAAGAAUUUAGAGAAUACGCUAUAGCUUUACAAGACUAUGAGAGUUACAAAUAAUGCUGGCUUCGAGGAAUUACUAAAAAUCAGUUGGAAUCAGAUAAAAUCAUUUGUAAAAGAAUAUUAGUAGAUCUCCAACUUUUGCAAGUACAUGGGAGAAGUAAAUGCCUCGGAGAACCCGUAAUUUUUCUGUUCCGACAACUUUUGGAUUGAAACUAUUCUAGUAAAACCAAAUAAAAGAUAUAAAAAAAUUGUAGAAUAAAAU